rnacentral:rRNA from 1 species
AUGGCGUCGCGUCGUAGCUUAGCGCUGGGGCUCCUCUUCGGCCUCCUGUCCUGCUACGCGUCCGUCGUCCCUUCCGUGGCUUCCUCCGACGGUUUCCUCCAAUGCCUGUCGGCGGCCAUGCCCAAGCAGCUCCUGUACACGCAGGGCUCGCCUUCGUUCACGUCGGUCCUGGCGUCCUCCAUCCGGAACGCCAAGUUCUCCACGCCUGGCACGGUGAGGCCGCUCUGCAUCGUGACGCCGACGAAUGCCUCCCACGUCCAGGCCGCCGUCGUGUGCGGCCGCCGGCACGACGUGCGCGUCCGCGUGCGCAGCGGCGGGCACGACUACGAGGGCCUCUCGUACCGGUCCGAGCGCCCCGAGGCGUUUGCCGUGGUCGACCUGGCCAACCUCCGCUCCGUGCGCGUCGACCGGGAGGCCGCCACCGCGUGA